AAGAAAGAAGCAUAAGUGGUUUAAUAUGCGGUUGGCUUGAAACCAAUGAGUGAGGGUUCGAUUCCUU
rnacentral:tRNA from 1 species